ensembl:misc_RNA 7SK 7SK RNA
GGAUGUGAGGGCAAUCUGGCUGCAAAGUCUGUCACCCCAUUGAUCACCAGAGUUGAUUCAACUGAUCUGGCUGGCUAGGCAGGUGUCCCCUUCCUCCCUCACUGCUCCAUGUGUGUCUCUCCAGAAGCUUCAUGCGAGGUUGAAGAGGACGACCUUUCUCAAUAGAGGAGUGGACCAGUCUUCAGUCAGGGGUAUACAAGUAGCUUCUCUCCCCUGCUAGAACCUCCAACCAAGCUCUCAAGGUCCAUUUGUAAGAGAACACAGGGUAGUUAAGCUUCCAAGGCUCCAGACACAUCCAAAUGAGGCACUGCACGUGGCAAUCUGCCUUUCUUU